rnacentral:lncRNA from 10 species
GUUUGAUCUCAGACUGCUGUGCUAGCAAUCAGCGAGACUCCGUGGGCGUAGGACCCUCCGAGCCAGGUGCGGGAUAUAAUCUCGUGGUGCGACGCUUUUUAAGCCCUUCAGAAAAGCGCAGUGUUCGGGUGGGAGUGACCCGAUUUUCCAGGUGCCGCCCGUCACCCCUUUCUUUGACUCAGAAAGGGAACUCCCUGACCCCUUGCGCUUCCCAAGUGAGGCAAUGCCUCGCCCUGCUUCGGCUCGCGCACGGUGCGCGCACCCGCUGACCUGCACCCACUGUCUGGCACUCCUUAGUGAGAUGAACCCGGUACCUCAGAUGGAAAUGCAGAAAUCACCCGUCUUCUGCGUCGCUCACGCUGGGAGCUGUAGACCGGAGCUGUUCCUAUUCGGCCAUCUUGGCUCCUCCUGUAACAAUUUCUUGAGAUGAAGAUCCUGAAUACCAAAGAGGGCCGCUGACAGGUCUAGGAGUACACUUCUAGCACCUAGCAGAGAGAGGCUUCACUACAUCAUGCUUCCUGACAUCUCUCCCUUUGAAGAGCAGUCAGACUCCUGCUUUGCUCUUCAGACUUAAUUUGGGGGUUUAACAGGUGAGGUUGCUGGGGGAACUCUUUUACAACAUCUCUCUGAAAGAAUCCGGGCUGCCAGUUUCAUUUGGUUUGGGUGUCAGUAGCAUGAUGGAAAGACAAAAAAACACAACUUGACAUCUGCAGAAAUGGGUUCAAAUUUUACCUGCAACUCACCAAUUCUGUGGCCUUGGUUCAGCAAUUAAACUCCCUAAAAUUCAGUUUUUUCUUUGUAAAAUGGGGUUAUGAACAGUACCUACUUCAAAAUGUGUUUGUGAAGAUUAAAAAAGUUAACAUAAAGAGUUUAGAAGAGUGUCUG